UCAAACUUGGUCAUUUAGAGGAAGUAAAAGUCGUAACAAGGUUUCCGUAGGUGAACCUGCGGAAGGAUCAUUACAGAAUUGUGCGAGGGAUCGGGAACGGGCUCGUCUCGUCCCCUUUCUCUCGACAAAUCAAUCCACCCCUCUUGUGAACCAUCGAGAAGUUAGAAGCCUAGGUCAGUAAGGGAGGUGGGGGACCACGUUCCCCCUUCUCUGAGAGCCCGCGCAUCUUUCUUUCUCUUUUAAAAUUAUAUACCCCUUUGAAAGUCUCGGAAUGUAACUUAUGCAGUUUAUCUGAACCGCAAUAAAAUAACUUUCAGCAACGGAUCUCUUGGCUCUCGCAUCGAUGAAGAACGCAGC
rnacentral:misc_RNA from 1 species